rnacentral:tRNA from 1 species
AGCGGUGUGGCUUAAUGGAAGGAGCCCGGGCUCGGGAGUCAGAGGCCGUGGGUUCUAAUCCCGCCUCCGCCA